GGAGCGCGGCGCGGAGCAGCGCGGCGGCGGCAGCGGCGCGGAGCAGGCGGCCGGAGCCGAGGACGGGAGCGGUGCGUUCGACGAGCCGAAUUUCUCUCCGGUCCCAGUGCGGUGUGAGCACCUCGUGAGAGCCCACAGUGAGCGUGGUUGUUCGCGAACAACAGCAAAAAAAAUCCCAAAUAAUCAGCCGGUUGCUUUAUCUGCAAGAAGGAGAGAUACUCGAACGCUUACAAAAAGAGAAGCAAUUUAGCGUUAUUUUCUCCAUGGCAGGGUGAAAUGGAUCACACCAGCACGGGCGGAGAAUUUGGAAAGGAGCUAGUUCAGAAAUUAUCAGCUGCAACAGCGCCCAAAAACUUCUUCCCCAUCCCAACACCCCUGGAGAAAUGCAUCUCAGCGACUUCCAAGAAAAAAGACCCCAGACGUGGAAAUGGCUCUCAUAAAGCCCAUGUCGUAUGGCUUGUCGCGUAGAAGUAAACGCUGCACUGGACACCUACGGCUCCCGAAAUCACCGGAUCCUGCUCCCACUGCAGAAACCUAAGGAGUUUGCAUGGUGGGAAGCGCCGUUUACUUGUUUGUUUGCUUGUUUGUUCUAUUUAUAGACAUUUCUGCCGAGCUCAUCCCCGGAGCAUCUGCAUGCCCACUGGAGUGAGAUCUGAUUUCCGAGGCAAGCUCCAUCCUUAUUCAGCCGCAGCGUUUUGGAAAAGUCUGCUAAAGAAAGAGUGAACGCGAUCCAUGCCGUGCGCAGCCUUCGGUGCUCCUGCUAGGGACUCGAGUGUGGUUUUCUUUCCCCCACUACGCUUUCACAUAGCAACGCGAAACAAUUAAACUGGCCUGAAAGCCACCCGAGGCUGCAGUGACGAACUGAAAUGCUCUGUGUUUGUCAAAGGGUUUCAGAAAACAGGUGAAGAAUUAAGAUAGGAAUUAAUGCCCUGCUUAUCGCAUGUAAAUGAAAUAUUUAAUCUGCCAUUUCAUCUCUUAUGUGUGCUCGAACACCUCCAAAAGUUCUUUGAACAAAUAUUUAGUUUCCAAGCUAUAAAUUCGUCUUAUGCAAAGAGAAGGCUUUUAGGAUCUCCAGUUUAAACUCGUUCUUACUGCUUGUUGUGGUGCUGAGAAUUAUCCAGCCGGUCAGCUUACCUUUCCCAGGAGUGGUAAUUAAAAGAGAACUUGGGAAGGGGGGAUAAAAGGAAGAAUAAUAGCAUUCAGAAAAAUGGAAGCUCACCAGUUGUGACUAGCAUCCUUGCUAGUUCAUUUAUUUCUUCACUUAACUCCUGUUCUUCUCUCCAAUACCCCUACAGCUGCUCUGUUUUUAGAGCAACUCUGCAGCAUUUUGAGAGCCUUUAAAAAUGUCACUCUGAGAAAGAAAAAUAGAGAAGUUCAAUUAUUAAGGACUGAAACUGCUCAGGUAUUCCCUAGUCUGGCAGAGGAGUUGUCUAAAACAAGAGCUGCUUCAUCAUAUUCUCUCCUGAGAUUCAAGGAGAGCACUUGGGGAUUGACUCGUCUUUUUGCACACUGGGCUGAGAUGAGAUGGGGUGGGAAAGGGAGAGGCAAAGGAGGAUCCUUCUGAAAAACUUCUCUGGAGGUAAGGUCUCCCUUCUUCCAGGGAGGAAGAAGCUGGCCGUGGUGACAUGGAGUUAGUGGCAUCUGACAGGCAGGUGGGGGCCCAUUGCCAGGCUUUAGGUGGGGGGUAAAGGGGGCAGCAGGAGCCUUUCCCAGUGGCCCUACGCUACUUAGACAGCAUUUAUGGAUGGAUAAAGCUGAACAUUGGACAGGACACCCUUAAGGAAAAGAACCUUUCAGUGGAGCCAUCAACCUGUCAUCACUGCAAUAAAGGUGUAACACACAAGAGUGCUGGUAAGAGCCCAGGGUUUAUUUCCUAGCCCUGUCACAUGACAUGGGGUCAGGGUUACUAAAGGUUACUCCCUCACAUGGAAAGGAUCAGUGGCCAUCCAGCAGCUGCUUCUCCCCACUCCGGUCUCAUUUUGUAUUUUAACUCAUUCCUGUGUCUUUUAAAAAAUGCAAAGCCAACAACUAUGUUCAGCUACAAAGCCAUAUAGGCAAUGAGUAACACAUUUGCAUACAGCCCUGAAGCACCAGCCAGGUCAAAGCUAAAGGCUUGAACACCCUCUUGCACCCACCUUAUGUCCUGGGAAGAAUUCCUUUUCCCAGCUGGUGGAGACAUACCAGAGGGUCCUAUCACUGCACUGCAAUAUUUUUCCAAACAAGCUGCUUGCUGUCUUCCAGCACUGUCCCUCUGCAAUGAUCUGUUUGCCCAAGAAUGUGAAAUCUACUGGUUGGCCUCUGGGUUUUGCAGUGUCAUAUCUUCAUGAGUAUGACACAGUGAAACCAGCAUCAGGACUUCUUUGAGAAAGUUAGACACAGUCUUUGGUCAUAUCAUUCCCUGUUAUACAAUUCCUGGCCACAUGAGAGAUUUAAGCUCUAUUACAGCCUCCGAGUCGGUGCACAUGGGCAUAAUGGGAGCCAAGACAAGGAAGACUUGGAAUCAGGGACAUGGAACGGAAGUAACCAGAGACUACAGAACUAACAAGAAAGCUGUUCUCCGCAAAAAGUUGGUUACAAUAGCUUUGCUGUGGUUUCCUCCAGACACUUGUCAGACAACACUGUCCUACCCAGGAUGUGGGUGUAGCUAAAUGGCUUUCUAUGAAGCCUUGCAAUAAAACAUACACCAGAACAUAAGACAGUGCAAAGCAUUUGUUAUAGAUCUUGGAGAUUUACAUUAGUUUUAUAUAGGGUUUGGAGUAUAUUUUAGAUUUAUUUAGUGCUCACAGAGCCAAGCAUUGGUCUUGCAGACAGAAAAUGUUUGCCACCUCUAAAGAGCUGGAACUAUGGCUGGGUUCCUUGAUUCGGCUUCCCACAUCUCCGUACUAAACACCGGAGCAAGGGUGGCCAGGAGCAGGAUUGCCCCUGCUCCUGAAUGGGCCCAACGCACCACACAGAUCAGAGCACAGACCCCGACUAGUUUUGCCCAGGCUGUUAGCCCUAGAGGGCCUCUAGGCAUUGCUCAAGUGGCAAGGAAGUGUUAGGGGUAAGGAUCCCUUAGUCAUACCUCUUGAUCAUUAUUAUCAUUAUUAUCACUCCUCCUUAGCACUGUAAGCAGGGAGCAGGCCUCAAUUUGUGAAGUGCUGAGAAAGCAGAGAACACAAAGACAUUCCCUGCCCCAGAGAUUUUACCAGGCAAGGGGAGGAUAAGGGAUGAUGGAUGAACAUUGGAAAGAACUCAAAAACACAAGAUAGUAGCAGCUCACCUGACCAGCAUCUGCCCUGUGAGAUAGGAGACAGGCAGAGACAGGAGACACUAUUCAAAGCUAGAGCUGGCAACAAACAAUCAUUUUUUUAAAUGAAAAAGAUCUUAAACAAACACAUUAAAGUUACUGUGUUCUGGGGUUUUCCUUCUUUUCUUGGGAAAGGGCAAGGAGUUUCCUUAUGGUCAAAAUGGGGAGAAAGAAAAAGUGACACAAAAAUAGAAGUGUGAGAGAAAAACAUGAAGACUGUCAUUAAAAAAAUACUGUUUUUCUUCCAGUCAAAAUCUGUUCUAAUCGAAACUGGGUUAUUUCUACUUCAGAUGUUGAACAGCAGCUGUAUAAUGCCUGGGAUGCCCCUAAGCAGAUGAAUUGGAUUAUAAAGUAGAUUUGUGCCUUUUCCAAAGAGACACUUGUGGAGGAGUACUGUAAAGUGAUCCUAAUGAAUAGGGUAAGGGGAUGGCUGGCUCUUAUCUUAUUACCACAAAAUAAUAAUAUGAACAACAAGGGUAUUGUUCCUCUCUAAAACACUAUUGCCAAUAAUAUUCAACAUUUUAUUUGUAGGAAAACUGCUAACUGGUCACCACUUUACUCAUUGCCAUGAAGUAACUAAUGUUACCCCUAUUUUACAUGCAGGGAAGUGGAGUCGGAAAGAUUAGGGCUUGCCCAAGGCCGCAGAGCCAGCAAUCAGGCAGGAAGAAAACUCCAGAUUUCCUGGCUCCCACUCUCCUCCUAAAUUGAUCAUCCACACUCCAAUGACUUCUAAACAGUGUUUUCUAAGAUAAAAAAGUUCUGCCCAAAUCCAUCCCAUGGAAUCAAGCACUGCUGGAAUGUGAUUUAGCAUGUUUUGGACCAAUUCUAUAACGCCUUGCGCAACAAGACACAAUGUUUUAGCGCCAUUUAAUACAGUCCUAACAGUAUACCUGACCAGUCUUUGAUGUUUGAAUUAACCAAAACUGUCUACCUGGGAGAGCUGCAAUGUGAGACAGUGUGAGUCAGAAAUGGUGAGAGAACAUGACUGUAAGGGCAUGUAUAACAUCCGAGGCAAUUUACUGUGGAGGACUCAGGCCUUUCCUGCAACAAAAAGACUUUUCACUUCAACAUUUUGCCUGUGCAUCAAAUCACAUAGGCUAGACAACGUGCAAUGGUUGGUUAAGCUGUUCAGCAGGUAAUGUACCCAUUCCUGAGCCAUCAUAAACUCAGCAUAUUGAUUUCCCUCUAUCUGAUUAAAAAUCUUUUUAUAUAAAAACGAGCCACUUAAGCUGGACUAAGUGUAUCCACACAACACAGCAUUUCACUGAGGGCUGUGAUUGAUGAUUUAUCUUGGAUUUAGCUGAUGUAGCUGAAGAAGUUACUGCUGUUGGCUCCAGCUGUAAAACAGGGGUGUCUGCUCCUCAGCUAUGGUGUCUGGUGUGUUAAUUUAAACUGAAAUCAUGUUAGGUUAAUUAAUAACAGUAACUGUGAAUGAAGCAGCUGAAGGUAGACAUCUCUUCUGCCCUGUCAGCAAAGCUGUCAGGGCUCAGGAAUCAGAGACUCUAAUUGAUGUGUGUUGCAGCAGUGAUUUCUAUAAACCUCUUUUCCAUUUCAUUGCAGUGCACUAAGAGGUGCCAUUCCCAACAGCUGUGCUGUCAUAGCUGUGAGGUGGUAACUUACAGCCAAGUGCAUAAUCAUUGCUUAGGUCAUCUGUCAGGCACACUGGGGGUGACCUGGUCUUCCCUGCUUGGGUGAGGCCUACUCAGUUUCAAAAUAAAUUAGUUUCAAUUCUUGAUAUUCAACCUCUCUGCAGAGCUGAAGUGCACAGGGCUGUGGUUUAAGCUGCAAAUCUAUGCAGAGACUUACAGGCCUCCUUUAUUUCAUCUGAGUUCUGCUUGAUUGCAUUUAGAUUAGAUGAAUUUGGUACAAACCAAAGCAAGACACUCAUGCAGUAAGGAACAGGAAAUUAUUGGAAGGGUUAGACUGUGUUAAUGAACAUCUACUUUUGAAAGCUCAGGCAAAUUAAGAUAGGAUCUGAGUUUAAAAUACAGUGGCCCUCCCUGAGUACUUCCAUAUUUGAACUCUCCUUUUCUGAACAAGAUCUUGUGCUCUUCCUGUCCUGACCGGGAAGGAGUGUUCGCCUAACCAGGAAAUUCACCCGGGCUGAGAUGGGGUGUGGAUCUGAGGUGGAGCAGCAAGUCCUGCAUGGAUCUUCAUAAACAUUUUCAUGUGUGAAUAAGUCUUUAGCCUCCAGUCACAGACUUCAUCAAGAAUAGCUCUGUAUGUUGAGUUGUAUCACCCAAGCUCUACAGAUUACAAAGUACAAAUUACCCUGUGAACUUGCCUAGUUCAUAGGUCAGAACUGCCUUCUCUGUCAUGUUGUAGGCAGGCACCUGAAACUUAGCAGUCUGGUGCCAUUUUAGAUGUAAGACACUAAAAGGUGGCAGUUAUCCCAAUAGCCUACUGCUAUUUUGAUUGUGAGGUAUACUGAUCAUAAGACUUGCCUUGAUUCACUGCUACUGUACAAAUGGUAUACCAAGCCUUCCAGGCAGGCAGCAGAAAAAAAAAAGAGAAGGCGCAAUCCUUUAAUUAGUGCAUCCUGAAGUGCACACAAGUGCUCAGGAAACCCCAGUUGUUGGGUGUCAGCAGGAGAUUCUUGCUCCUCAGGAAAGGUUUCUUACUAGUGUUAAGGCUUGAUGCUAUGGAAAAUAUGGUCUAUGGGCAGGACAUCUGCUUUUCAUAUAAUUCUGGUUCCUUUCACCAACACUGGAGCCAGAAGCUCACAGGCUGAACAGCUCCCUUCUCCCUCCUGGCCAGCUUUUCCAGUUCUUUUGGUUCAUGGUUGUCCUUUUUGGAGAUAUCCUACCAGGCACUUUAUACUUCGCUGAAAGCCGAAGUGCCCAUCAUGUGGAAGGACCACUGGCCUCACAGAAUGGCCUAGAAAACACCAUAUUUUCAUCAGGAACAUCCUUAACUCAUCUAUAUGCUCCUGGCUAGGAAGAGAGGCUUCUUGUCCAGACUGUUUUUACUGAGACAUGUGCAACUCUCCUUCUAUCUGCUGGAAGGUUUCCCUCCCACUCACUACCUUCUUUGGGGUUUACCCUGUGGAGCUCUCUAGUAGAGCCAUCUCUUGUGGGGGAGGUGGAGACCUGCUCUUUCUAAACGUCCUACUAUCAUCAGGAAAACACUCGCCAAACAUGGAGCUUGGGAGGAGAGAAGAAAGUGGAAUAACAUCGCUGUAUGAUCUGAGAAUUCCCCUCUGCUCAAAGAGCUGUUGGGUUAGGACACUUCUUUUGUGAUUCCUGUCACCAUCUUCACUGGUGUUUGUUUAAGUUGGACAAUGCCUGGAUUGGGCCUUAACUUCUGGAAAACUCAGGCUCUUUGGCCCUCUCAGCAGCUGCUCUUCCACUGUCCGAUUUUCAUGCUGAUGUAUCCAUUUGAUUUCAUCCUAAUCCACACAAAGUUCAGGUUUCUUAGUGCUGGGAGAGUUUUGACCCAGCAGGCACCAGAGUGGUUAUUAUAUGGGAUUAAUGCAUCUGCCAUGCAAAGAUUCUUUCAAGACUAUUCGGUUGGGGUUUCCCCCCCACUUUUACAGUGUGCACUAUAUCAUAUUUUAACCCUGCUUUGGCAAGAUGAUGUGUGUUUGUGUGCAAGUGUGUGUCUAACCCCUAACAUGAGUGUGAUCAGUUAAGGGGUUGGUUUACAAACCCACAUUUCCAAAGCUUUGGAAAUCUGCACGGAUCUUGCAUGGAUUUGGCAUUGAAACCUCUGGGAGCGGCCAGAAAUCAAGUCCUCUCUGCUCCCACCCUUUUUAUUUCUGUGAAUGAAUAUGUAAGAGAUCUAUAAAUCUAAAACUGUGCAGGCGUGGAGAAAAUCAUAGGAGUCCGUCUGGU